rnacentral:rRNA from 1 species
CAAGUGGUAGCCAGAGAUUAUUGGGUCUAAAGCGUCCGUAGCCGGCCAGGUAAGUUCUCUUGGUAAAUUUAGCCGCUCAACGGUUAAGCUUUCAGGGAAUACUGCUUGGCUUGGGACCGGGAGAGGUCAGAGGUACUUCAAGGGUAGGGGUGAAAUCCGUUAAUCCUUGAGGGACCACCAGUAGCGAAGGCGUCUGACCAGACCGGGUCCGACGGUGAGGGACGAAGGCUAGGGUCGCGAACCGGAUUAGAUACCCGGGUAGUCCUAGCUGUAAACGAUGCGGGCCAGGUGUUGGCAUUACUGCGAGUGAUGUCAGUGCCGAAGGGAAGCCGUUAAGCCCGCCAUCUGGGGAGUACGGUCGCAAGGCUGAAACUUAAAGGAAUUGGCGGGGGAGCACCACCAACUGGUGAGC